AGAGUUUGAUCAUGGCUCAGAUUGAACGCUGGCGGCAUGCUUAAUACAUGCAAGUCGAACGGUAACAGAUUCUUCGGAAUGCUGACGAGUGGCGGACGGGUGAGUAAUACAUAGGAAUCUGCCCAUGUAGUGGGGGACAACUUGGGGAAACUCAAGCUAAUACCGCAUAAUUCCUACGGGAUAAAGAGGGCCACUGCUUGCAAGCUCUUGCUACUGGAUGAGCCUAUGUCGGAUUAGUUAGUUGGUAAGGUAAUGGCUUACCAAGACAGCGAUCCGUAGCUGGUUUGAGAGGAUGAUCAGCCACACUGGGACUGAGACACGGCCCAGACUCCUACGGGAGGCAGCAGUAGGGAGUAUUGGACAGUGGGCGCAAGCCUGAUCCAGCAAUGCCGCGUGUGUGAAGAAGGCCUGCGGGUUGUAAAGCACUUUCAAUUGGGAAGAAAGAUUAUGAGUUAAUACCUUAUAA
rnacentral:rRNA from 1 species